GUUCUCAUAAAGGGGUGCCAAAUAUCGGCUGAGAUCAUACCCAAUGAACCUAGAACAGAUAAUGCUGUUUAGGGACUGAGUGACAUUAGAAA
rnacentral:ncRNA from 1 species